GUGAUCACAACAAGAUAAUGAAAUAGAUUUAUUAUAGAAGAUGGCAGUUAAAGUGAAGCCGUCUCCCUCUCCUUCCUUGCUGGGGCAUGUGUCCUUUCUCCUUAAGUUUUCUUAAGGUUCAGAGAGAGCAGUCAGCCCCAAGAGGAAGAGGUGCUUACAGUGGUGGAGAAAGACGUGGAACAGCUGGCUUCUGAAUAUCCUUCAGUCUUACUGGGAAUGAAGUGGAUCAUCAAUCAGACUAAUCAACAUUGGACUUGGCCUACAGCUUUGCUGGUUUAUAGCUUCCAAUGGGGAAAAGUCACUGCUGCAUCUUACUCAUUUUUUUUUCUGUAUUAAAAUAAAAGGCCCUGAUUGUGUCAGUAAAUUUUUUUGCUAAGAAUUGUUGAUAAAACAAAAAAAAAAUUCAUCCAUAAUAGUUCAAAUUAACCACUCAUAAAUAAUCAGUUUCAAGUAUGUCUCAGAAUCUUAUAACUUUUAUUACAAAAUCAUUACUUAUAGUUUUUUAUUAAAACACUCAAAUCUUUGUGGAUUUUACCUCUUGAAAUUUAUGGUACAUUUUCUCAUUACUUAUUUAAAUGUAACCUGUAAUUGAGAUCCUUUUUUGUGGGAGGAAAUUGAUUUCUAUCAAUGAUUUACAGCAUACAAAAACAAACUGUAGGAAUUUCUCUUUUUGGUAGAUUUCAACUAAGCUCUUUUUUCCUUAGCUUUUCUGAAUUUGCCUUCAUCUCCUUAUUAUUUACUAAGGAGAUGGGCCCAAGUGAUAGGUCAUGAAGAUAAAGUGAAAACAUGUUCACUUAGUUUAUAUUUUGACAGGAAGUAAAAACAUCCUAAAUAUUUGAUCAAUUUAAAAUGUAUUAUUGGCAGGAAUAGUUAUUUACUUACUUUACUGAUAAUGUAUUUGUUUAAUAAGUCUAAAUUUCCUUUCUCUGUAUGCCAUUUUAGUUCUGACAUGUUCAAUUCAGCUCAUGGUUUUAAAAUAACAUCUGGAUAGGAGUUCCUAAUGUAUCAUGUCUCAAUUUUACACUGAAAACGCAUAAGUGAACACAGAAAAUUAUGAAUACUUCCAUGCUCGCUAAAAAGUAAAACCAAUCAAUAACCAUGGCUAGGACCUAGGGGAAAUUUUCAAAACAACUGGAUUUAUAAAACUGCAAUACAAUGACCCAUUCAGAUGUGUUUGAGCACCUAAGACCAUGUCUCCCACUAUAAUCCUGACUCUUGCUGUUCAUCUCUUCCUCACCUCCAGUUGCUUGCCAGGUAUGAA
rnacentral:lncRNA from 10 species